UACGGAGGGGGCAAGCGUUGUUCGGAAUUACUGGGCGUAAAGGGCUCGUAGGUGGCCAACUAAGUCAGACGUGAAAUCCCUCGGCUUAACCGGGGAACUGCGUCUGAUACUGGAUGGCUUGAGUUUGGGAGAGGGACGCGGAAUUCCAGGUGUAGCGGUGAAAUGCGUAGAUAUCGGGAGGAACACCAGUGGCGAAGGCGGUUGCCUGGGGCGGUGCUGACGCUGAUGCGCGAAAGCGUGGGGAGCGAUCCGG
rnacentral:rRNA from 1 species